UCUCCUUACUGCUUAUAGUAAGAUGCAAGAGGAGAGAGAUACACUGAAGAUGGAAUUAUUAAGCAAAAAGGAACCAAAACUGAUUGAUUUGGAGGUUUCUCAGCCUACCCAUAUGACCAAAGAUCAGAAAGCAUAUUCUGGAAAGAAGACCGAAGUGGGCCUGGACAAUCAAUUGGUAAAGGAAUCAUGAGUGUGAGUAAUGGAGGCAAUCAGCCAUCUCAGCUGAAAGGCCGCCAAGCUUGGAUGGAAAGAUCCGAGAUGGGACGAAAUGAAGGAAAGACGAGUGCACGGCUGAGAGGGAGGCAGUGCUGCAACACGCCCAUGCUGGCGGUCACACAUGCCAGCUGUGUGACCAUUCCCUUGAUGCGUGGGGCUCCCCAUCAUGAG
rnacentral:lncRNA from 1 species